AAGCUCGUAGUUGAAUUUCGGGGUUAGUAGGUUGGUCAUGCCUCUGGUAUGUACUGGUCUCACUGAUUCCUCCUUCCUUAUGAACCGUAAUGCCAUUAAUUUGGUGUUGCGGGGAAUUUGGACUGUUACCUUGAAAAAAAUUAGAGUGUUUAAAGCAAGCUAACGCUUGAAUACAUUAGCAUGGAAUAAUGAAAUAGGACGUUCGAUCUUAUUUUGUUGGUUUCUAGGAUUGACGUAAUGAUUAAUAGGGAUAGUUGGG
rnacentral:rRNA from 1 species